UGGCCAGACUCCUACGGGAGGCAGCAGUGGGGAAUAUUGCACAAUGGGGGAAACCCUGAUGCAGCGACGCCGCGUGAGCGAUGAAGUAUUUCGGUCUGUAAAGCUCUAUCAGCAGGGAAGAAAAUGACAGUACCUGACUAAGAAGCCCCGGCUAACUACGUGCCAGCAGCCGCGGUAAUACGUAGGGGGCAAGCGUUAUCCGGAUUUACUGGGUGCAAAGGGAGCGUAGACGGCAUGGCAAGCCAGAUGUGAAAUACCGGGGCUCAACCCCGGGACUGCAUUUGGAACUGUUAAGCUGGAGUGUCGGAGAGGCAGGCGGAAUUCCUAGUGUAGCGGUGAAAUGCGUAGAUAUACGGAGGAACACCAGUGGCGAAGGCGGAUUGCUGGACAGUAACUGACGCUGAGGCGCGAAAGCGUGGGGAGCAAACAGGAUUAGAUACCCUGGUACAA
rnacentral:rRNA from 1 species